rnacentral:rRNA from 1 species
UACGAAGGGGGCUAGCGUUGUUCGGAAUUACUGGGCGUAAAGCGCGCGCAGGCGGUUCUCCAAGUCAGUGGUGAAAGCCCGGAGCUCAACUCCGGAAUUGCCAUUGAAACUGUUGAACUUGAGGACGAGAGAGGUGAGUGGAAUUCCCAGUGUAGAGGUGAAAUUCGUAGAUAUUGGGAAGAACACCGGUGGCGAAGGCGGCUCACUGGCUCGUAUCUGACGCUCAGGCGCGAUAGCGUGGGGAUCAAACAGG